UACGUAGGGUCCAAGCGUUAUCCGGAUUUACUGGGCGUAAAGCGUUGCGUAGGUGGUUUUGUAAGCGAAGUGUGAAAUCAUGCGGCUCAACCGCGUGGCUAUACUUUGAACUGCAAGACUAGAAUAUGAGAGAGGUUACUAGAAUUCCUAGUGUAGGAGUGAAAUCCGUAGAUAUUAGGAGGAAUACCGAUGGCGUAGGCAGGUAACUGGCUCAUUAUUGACACUAAGGCACGAAAGCGUGGGGAGCAAACGGG
rnacentral:rRNA from 1 species